rnacentral:rRNA from 1 species
CUCAGAGCGAACGUUUGCGGCGGGCUUAACACAUGCAAGUCGAACGGGCUGUUCCUUCGGGGGCAGUCAGUGGCGCACGGGUGCGUAACACGUAGGUAAUCAACCCUCUGGUUGGGGAUAACACUUCGAAAGGAGUGCUAAUACCCGGUAUGGCGCAGCGGUCUUCGGGUCGCGGCGAGAAAGACCCGCAAGGGUUGCCAGAGGACGAGCCUGCGGCCCAUCAGCUAGUUGGCGAGGUAACGGCUCACCAAGGCGAAGACGGGUAGCUGGUCUGAGAGGAUGAUCAGCCACACUGGAACUGAGACACGGUCCAGACUCCUACGGGAGGCAGCAGUGGGGAAUAUUGCGCAAUGGGCGAAAGCCUGACGCAGCCACGCCGCGUGAGCGAUGAAGGCCUUCGGGUCGUAAAGCUCUGUGGGGAGAGAAGAAUAGAGCCUGUGAAGAGCAGGCCUUGACGGUAUCUCCUUAGCAAGCACCGGCUAACUCCGUG